GAUUAGUGGCGAACGGGUGAGUAACACGUGGGCAAUCUGCCCUUCACUCCGGGACAAGCCCUGGAAACGGGGUCUAAUACCGGAUAACACCGUCCUCCUCCUGGAAGACGGUUGAAAGCUCCGGCGGUGAAGGAUGAGCCCGCGGCCUAUCAGCUUGUUGGUGGGGUAAUGGCCUACCAAGGCGACGACGGGUAGCCGGCCUGAGAGGGCGACCGGCCACACUGGGACUGAGACACGGCCCAGACUCCUACGGGAGGCAGCAGUGGGGAAUAUUGCACAAUGGGCGCAAGCCUGAUGCAGCGACGCCGCGUGAGGGAUGACGGCCUUCGGGUUGUAAACCUCUUUCAGCAGGGAAGAAGCGCAAGUGACGGUACCUGCAGAAGAAGCGCCGGCUAACUACGUGCCAGCAGCCGCGGUAAUACGUAGGGCGCAAGCGUUGUCCGGAAUUAUUGGGCGUAAAGAGCUCGUAGGCGGCUUGUCACGUCGGGUGUGAAAGACCGGGGCUCAACCCCGGUUCUGCAUUCGAUACGGGCAGGCUAGAGUGUGGUAGGGGAGAUCGGAAUUCCUGGUGUAGCGGUGAAAUGCGCAGAUAUCAGGAGGAACACCGGUGGCGAAGGCGGAUCUCUGGGCCAUUACUGACGCUGAGGAGCGAAAGCGUGGGGGAGCGAACAGGAUUAGAUACCCUGGUAGUCCACGCCCGUAAACGUUGGGAACUAGGUGUUGGCGACAUUCCACGUCGUCAGUGCCGCAGCUAACGCAUUAAGUUCCCCGCCCUGGGGAGUACGGCCGCAAGGCUAAAACUCAAGGAAUUGACGGG
rnacentral:rRNA from 1 species